rnacentral:rRNA from 1 species
UACGUAGGUGGCAAGCGUUGUCCGGAAUUAUUGGGCGUAAAGCGCGCGCAGGCGGUCUUUUUAAGUCUGAUGUGAAAGCCCACGGCUCAACCGUGGAGGGUCAUUGGAAACUGGGGGACUUGAGUGCAGGAGAGAAGAGUGGAAUUCCACGUGUAGCGGUGAAAUGCGUAGAGAUGUGGAGGAACACCAGUGGCGAAGGCGACUCUUUGGCCUGUAACUGACGCUGAGGCGCGAAAGCGUGGGGAGCAAACAGGAUUGAGAAACCCG